CCUACGGGGCGCAGCAGUGGGGAAUAUUGGACAAUGGGCGAAAGCCUGAUCCAGCCAUGCCGCGUGUGUGAAGAAGGCCUUCGGGUUGUAAAGCACUUUCAGUGGGGAAGAAAGCCUUGGGGCUAAUACCCUCGAGGAAGGACAUCACCCACAGAAGAAGCACCGGCUAACUCCGUGCCAGCAGCCGCGGUAAUACGGAGGGUGCGAGCGUUAAUCGGAAUUACUGGGCGUAAAGCGCGCGUAGGCGGUCUGAUAAGCCGGUUGUGAAAGCCCCGGGCUCAACCUGGGAACGGCAUCCGGAACUGUCAGGCUAGAGUGCAGGAGAGGAAGGUAGAAUUCCCGGUGUAGCGGUGAAAUGCGUAGAGAUCGGGAGGAAUACCAGUGGCGAAGGCGGCCUUCUGGACUGACACUGACGCUGAGGUGCGAAAGCGUGGGUAGCAAACAGGAUUAAUACCCGGGUAGUC
rnacentral:rRNA from 1 species